rnacentral:rRNA from 1 species
GUACGGGGGGGCAAGCGUUGUUCGGAAUUACUGGGCGUAAAGGGCUCGUAGGUGGCCAACUAAGUCAGACGUGAAAUCCCUCAGCUUAACUGGGGAACUGCGUCUGAUACUGGAUGGCUUGAGUUUGGGAGAGGGAUGCGGAAUUCCAGGUGUAGCGGUGAAAUGCGUAGAUAUCUGGAGGAACACCGGUGGCGAAGGCGGCAUCCUGGACCAACACUGACGCUGAGUGAGCGAAAGCCAGGGGAGCAAACGGG